CCGGUAGAUGUUCAUCUCUAUCCGCCGCUGAAAAGUCCGGGAUAACUCAGCGCUGAGCUUUCCCAUAUCGUCGGCCGACCCCAUCCCCGGCUGCUGGUUCAGGCUGAGAUUUAAUUCCUUGUCAAUGGUGACUACUAGGGUAAGCGGGUUGGGAACAACGUGCGCUUGUUGGGUUGGCGGCUGCGGGAUCAAGGCCUUAAAGCGGGUCUGCCUGAGCGGGGAGAUAACCAUGAAAAUAAUGAGCAGGACGAGUA
rnacentral:misc_RNA from 1 species